AUGAAGUGCUUUAGCAUGGGAACAUGGGGCAAGUGUGCCUGGGUUUUCAGUCGGGGUUGGCAAAGCCAACUACAUAGCUGCCAUGGUGAAGACCUCUUGGAAGUGGUACCAUGAGAUGAGGAGUGCUCCUUUAGCCCAGCCUCGUCAGAUACUAAAAAGAAAUCCUGCAAGUGAGAACACUUUCUAGAGGCUGGAAAGUCCAAGAUCAAAGUGCCAGCAGAUUCCGUGUCUGAUGGAGACCCACUUUCUGCAUAGAUAGCACCUUCUCAUCGUGUCCUCACAUGGCGGAAAGACCUUCUUUUACUAGAGCACUAAAUCCUACUCAUGAGGACUCUGCCUUCAUGACCCAGCACCUCCCAUCCUCUAAAACCAUCAACUUGAGGUUUAGGACUUUAACACAUGAAUGUUGGGGGAACAUAAACAUUCAGAUAAUAGCAGUGAUGAAGGAAUAAAUGAAUAAAUUGCAGGA
ensembl:lncRNA